UACGUAGGGUGCAAGCGUUAUCCGGAAUUAUUGGGCGUAAAGAGCUCGUAGGCGGUUUGUCGCGUCUGCUGUGAAAACCCGAGGCUCAACCUCGGGCCUGCAGUGGGUACGGGCAGACUAGAGUGCGGUAGGGGAGAUUGGAAUUCCUGGUGUAGCGGUGGAACGCGCAGAUAUCAGGAGGAACACCGAUGGCGAAGGCAGAUCUCUGGGCCGUAACUGACGCUGAGGAGCGAAAGCGUGGGGAGCGAACAGG
rnacentral:rRNA from 1 species